UUAAAUUCCCAGGAAGGUUUAUUGUUAUUUAAUUUUUUUUUUUUUAAUUUAAAAUUUUCACUUUGUACCUUUGUAGUGGAGUGGAGCACUCCGAUUUGUCAUAUUUGCUGAAGCAGACAGAACAACUUCUGAAACCAUGUGAAUCCCAGCCUGCCCCUUUUCCACUGACUGCAGCCCAGCAAGACAAUAGCAGCCUGAAAACAAAAUCAAAUGAGCACAAUAUUCCUACAACACCUCUAAACCAAAGAGAGGGUGACAUACAGUAAGUUCAGGACAGUACAGAGAUCACACAUAACACAGAAGAGUGCUGCAAUUUCAAUUGUGAUCUGUGCGAAUUAGACUUGGACAGUCUGGCUCCAUACAUUCCAAUGCACGGAUAGGACUUCCUGCUAACUCCCAUUUUAGAGGAGACAGACGACAGCACCGAACUAAACAUGUGUGGACUAUCAUUCAAUAGUCCACAUCAAAAACUGGAUCCUCAGUUGCAAAAGUCUUUCUGCCUGAAAAGGGCCUUACACAUACCCAACAAAGUGUCAGUCAUUAUUUUCUAACAAACAGGAUCAGCGAUGCUAACCUGAUAUCAACACAGCAUUGGAAUGAGAGCCAAAAUCUUGUGAACAGAAUUUCGAAGGUUUAUAAUUAUAAUUAUAAACAGCAUAAUUAUCAGUUCUUCUCUGCUGAAAGGGAGACAAUUCACAGGAGCGAGGAUGCGCUGAAAGUUCUACAACAUCCCAACAGCUGGAUCUUCAAUGGAUCAUCACCAAGGCCAUAUGGCGGAGACCCAGAUAUACUUGGAAUAAAGUUCAAAUCACUUCCAGAGAAUCCUAAGCGUUAUCCUCAGAACAGAAGACACCGUGCUGAUGUAAAAGCACUCCCAGCACCUUUGACUCUGCCUGUGUUGAGCGGGUGGGAGUGUGAGGUCAAUGCAUCUCUUGACCCCACAUUAUAUUUGCUCCAAGGGACAGAAAUUAUAGCUGUUCUGGACCAAGUGGCCUCAAGAGUGCCUUGGUGCUGAUACAAAACAAAACACAACACUAACAAUGUGCAUUUGAAUACAAUGUAUCACUUACAUACACUCGGUCAUUAAUGCAUCUUUAUAACAACAACACCUGCAAGCAUUUCUUUAGAGUACAUUAACAUUACUAAAACCUGUGGGAUUGUUGUAAAGUCUGUUUUUAUUCAUCUAAUAUUGGGCUUUGCAUUCAAACCUCUCCUUUCUGAGGUUACAGUGUUCUAUUCACACCAAUGGCGAUAUCUAUAGUCAUAAUUAUUCUAUGAGAAUAUGGAUGUUCAUAGCGCAACUGUAACGAUAACGACAAAGAGAAACAGUACCAUUGGAAUCACUUUCAGAAGUUUUUUUUUCUCCAACUGAUAAACAAUAAAAAUCAGAAGUCCGUAAAAAGCGUGAGCGUUUAAAGCGGCUGAGAACAAAACUGUGCACACGCUUACAAUAAACAGAAUAUUAUUGUCUUCUGGUGUGAAUGCUAAUAUUAUAGUUAUAAUUCUUGGUGUGAACAGGUGAACUUUAGUAGUAAUUAUGGUGUUGCAUCUUCUACCAUUGCAGUGUUGUAUUUCAACAUAUUCUAGAAACUUUUAUGAAUAUUUAAGGAUUUAUUGUUUGCACUCUCACAAAUGUAUGUCUCAAUUCACAAUUUCUCAUGCCUUUAUUAUGUUGUGCAUUGUUUUUUAAU